AGUCCGGGUCGCGUUGGCGCGAAGUGGACGCCAAACGGGCCUUGUGGGAACUUGAGAGCAGCGGGUAUCUUGAAGAUCUGCGAAAUAGCAGAUUUUCAGUGAGCUGUACCGGUACAAAGUGGAAGCAGGGUGCAAGUUGACUUUUUGGCCAUCUUGUCACAUCACCCCCCUUUAACCCUUAUCUUGGAGCAGAGAGGAGAGAGAGAGGGGAGCUCCUUCAUGCUGCUGCUGUUGCUGUGCUUCUUCUUCCUCUCCUUUUACUUCCCUUAGCAACCUAGAGUGUUGGAGGAGCUCAAGAGAAGCUCGAGCUUCGUCGACGACGCGCCGCGUAGCGGAUCGAGCGAGUUUUCGACGAGGUGCUGCUCGCAGGGAGGGUUUGUCGAGGAGCAUCGGAACGUGACGCGGUUUGAUUCGUUGGAACCGAGACUUCGAGACGAAUUCAUAGGAUCCUUACUCGCCCGAUUUGGAGAAGGUUUGCUCUGUCGAAAUCCCUUUUUACUGAGUUGCUGUUUGCCGAGCAGACUCUGAAGUGCUGAUUGCUGAUUCCAGCAUCGACCCGCCGUGUUUUACCUAGUUCUCUGUGUAGGAGUGUCGGAACGCGACGAAAUUUGGCGUGCUAGAUUCGCGACUUUGAGACGAAGAUUCUGAGCCCAAGAUCGUGAUUUUUGGAGCAGGUUCCAGCGUCGACGUUUCGUAUUCUGGCCCGUUCUCUGCGUAGGAGCGUCGGAAUUCAGCGAAACCUGGGCCAUUGGAUCCGUGACUUCGAGACGAAGCUUCAGAACCCUUGUUUGCUGAAUUUGGAUAAGCAGGGGAACCGGGGACUUCGACGGACCAGCGAGGGAUCAAUUUGAAUCCGGGCCACUUUCUUCGCUGCCAGGAGUUGCUUGAGAGAGGGCCUUCUGUUUCGGCUGCUGCUCCUUCUGAGGCGGACCGCGGGAAAGGCGUGGCGAGCUAGAGCCUGCCCUUCGAGUACAGUGCUAGAGGACUCCCGCUGCAGGUAGUGACAGUUUUUGUUCGGGCGCUUUUGUUCUUACAGUUGAACUCGCUGGAGCGAGUAGUGUUCUUUUAUAUCCGUGGCUGUUGUAUGCUUAAAGUUUGUUAUUUCUACCUUCUUGUUUAUAGUUUACUUCAGCUCUAUACUACUGCUUGUAGUAUUGU